UGCUCUGAUGAUACCAGUAACAAAUAAGAAGUGCCAUCAGAAGCUAUAACUGAUGAGGCUGAUGUAUGAGC